rnacentral:rRNA from 1 species
GAUGAACGCUGGCGGCGUGCCUAAUACAUGCAAGUCGAGCGAACAGACGAGGAGCUUGCUCCUCUGACGUUAGCGGCGGACGGGUGAGUAACACGUGGAUAACCUACCUAUAAGACUGGGAUAACUUCGGGAAACCGGAGCUAAUACCGGAUAAUAUAUUGAACCGCAUGGUUCAAUAGUGAAAGACGGUUUUGCUGUCACUUAUAGCUGGAUCCGCGCCGCAUUAGCUAGUUGGUAAGGUAACGGCUUACCAAGGCAACGAUGCGUAGCCGACCUGCGAGGGUGAUCGGCCACACUGGAACUGAGACACGGUCCAGACUCCUACGGGAGGAAGCAGUAGGGAAUCUUCCGCAAUGGGCGAAAGCCUGACGGAGCAACGCCGCGUGAGUGAUGAAGGUCUUCGGAUCGUAAAACUCUGUUAUUAGGGAAGAACAAAUGUGUAAGUAACUAUGCACGUCUUGACGGUACCUAAUCAGAAAGCCACGGCUAACUACGUG